rnacentral:rRNA from 1 species
GACGAACGCUGGCGGCGUGCUUAACACAUGCAAGUCGAACGGAAAGGCCCCUUUGGGGGUACUCGAGUGGCGAACGGGCGAGUAACACGUGAGUAACCUGCCCUUGACUUCGUGAUAACUACAGGCAACUGGGGGUAAUACCGGAUAGGAAUCCUCGCUGCAUGGUUGGGGUUGGAAAGCUUCGGCGGUCUUGGAUGGACUCGCGGCUUAUCAGCUUGUUGGUGGGGUAGUGGCUUACCAAGGCUUUGACGGGUAGCCGGCCUGAGAGGGCGACCGGCCACAUUGGGACUGAGAUACGGCCCAGACUCCUACGGGAGGCAGCAGUGGGGAAUAUUGCACAAUGGGCGGAAGCCUGAUGCAGCAACGCCGCGUGCGGGAUGACGGCCUUCGGGUUGUAAACCGCUUUCAGCAGGGCGAAGCUUGUGGUGACGGUACCUGCAAAAGAAGCACCGGCUAACUACGUG